CUCCAAGCUCCAGCUCAGUCACAAAGACCAUAUACAUGCAUUUGAGAGGCAAACACCAGGUCUGACUUCUGUUUCUUGAUAUCGCAGAAUGUCUUAUCACAGAUGCUAUAAAUUCACUCUCCUCCCAGACAACAGAUUCUCGAUCUAUUCCAUAUCUCCCAGCAUUUCACAUGGACAAAGAAGGGCCUAUCAUUUUAAGGGUGUAU